rnacentral:tRNA from 1 species
GGCCAGGUAGCUCAGUUGGUAGAGCACCGCACUGAAAAUGCGGGUGUCGACAGUUCGAUUCUGUCCCUGGCCA